rnacentral:rRNA from 1 species
AAGCCAUGCUAGUCGUACGAGUUCACACUCGUGGCGAAUAGCUCAGUAACACGUGGCCAAACUACCCUUCGGAGCACAAUACCCUCGGGAAACUGAGGCUAAUAGUACAUACCAUACCACCACUGGAAUGAGUGGUAUGCCAAACGCUCCGGCGCCGAAGGAUGUGGCUGCGGCCGAUUAGGUAGACGGUGGGGUAACGGCCCACCGUGCCAAUAAUCGGUAUGGGUCAUGAGAGUGAGAACCCAGAGACGGAAUCUGAGACAAGAUUCCGGGCCCUACGGGGCGCAGCAGGCGCGAAACCUUUACACUGCACGACAGUGCGAUAGGGGGAUCCCAAGUGCACAGGCAUAGCGCCUGUGCUUUUCGGUACCCUAAGGCGGUACCAGAAUAAGGGCUGGGCAAGACCGGUGCCAGCCGCCGCGGUAAUACCGGCAGCCCAAGUGAUGGCCGAUCUUAUUGGGCCUAAAGCGUCCGUAGCUGGCCACGCAAGUCCAUCGGGAAAUCCACCUGCCCAACAGGUGGGCGCCCGGUAGAAACUGCGUGGCUUGGGACCGGAAGGCGCGACGGGUACGUCCGGGGUAGGAGUGAAAUCCCGUAAUCCUGGACGGACCGCCGAUGGCGAAAGCACGUCGCGAGAACGGAUCCGACAGUGAGGGACGAAAGCCAGGGUCUCGAACCGGAUUAGAUACCCGGGUAGUCCUGGCCGUAAACAAUGUCUGCUAGGUGUGGCUCCCACUACGAGUGGGUGCUGUGCCGUAGGGAAGCCGCUAAGCAGACCGCCUGGGAAGUACGUCCGCAAGGAUGAAACUUAAAGGAAUUGGCGGGGGAGCACUACAACCGGAGGAGCCUGCGGUUUAAUUGGACUCAACGCCGGACAUCUCACCAGCAUCGACUGUGAUAAUGACGACCAGGUUGAUGACCUUGUCCGAGUCUCAGAGAGGAGGUGCAUGGCCGCCGUCAGCUCGUACCGUGAGGCGUCCUGUUAGUCAGGCACGAGCGA